GCCGCUCUCCAUGGCUCACCAUGUCGUCUCUCCCUGUCACGCAUUUACAGCCCUCGCUCUCUUCCUAACUAGCUCCCUCCUCAUCCUCCUACCACCUGCUAAGCUAAGCUAGUUAGCUUCCUCCCCUCUCUCAUCCAUCCUCGCUCUGCUAGCUGCUUCUCGGACCGGCAGCGCCCGCUAUAUAUAGCUCUCGCCUCGGCUGCUCCAGAGAGCAAGCAACAAGCUAGCAGCUACACUCACCCAACCGUUAGCCUGAUACUAGCUAGCAAAGCCAUAUCUCCUUCUGCAAGCUGUGUUUGGGCACUCUCAGGUCACAAUUACAGCUUGAUACGUACAUACAUACCGCGAGGGUGGAGUGAAAGCGAUCGAGCAUGUCGUCGAGCAGCCGGAGAUCACGCACGCGGCGCUCCGGGAGCUCGCCGUCUAUCUCGGAGGAGCAGAUCUCCGAGCUGCUGUCCAAGCUGCAGGCGGCGCUCCCGGAGUCCCAAGCUCGCAAUGGCGCUCACAGGGGGUCGGCGGCGAGGGUGCUGCAGGAGACGUGCAGCUACAUCCGGAGCCUGCACCGGGAGGUGGAUGAACUGAGCGAGACGCUCGCCGCGCUGCUUGCCUCCGAUGCCGUUACCGCCGAGCAGGCCGCUGUCAUCAGGAGCCUCCUCAUGUGACCCUCCCACCGCCCUCCCAUCCUCGCGGCGCACACGUACGUCUACCAAGCUCUCCGGCGGCCCAUGUGAGCAUGCCCGUGAGCGAGUACCUUCGUUGUGAGCCCAAUUCCUAAGGACGUUUGAUAACGGAUGAUAUUGUUGUGGCUUCUGGGUGCUUGCACUUUAUGAAGCGAAACAGAGCUGUUAAGUGUUGUCAUUGUGCCCUUAAGCUUCAUGUGAUGAAGGCUUAUGGCAGGGUUGAAUGGGACUACUUUGAGGGCAAUUAUGCUCAAAUUAGGAUUUUCUGAGCGUUGGGCGAACAUUGUAAUGAGUCUUGUCAACUUGGUCUCGUACUCAGUUUUGUUCAAUGGUAAGAAACUUGAAGAAAACAAACGAUCCAGAGGAUCCGACAGGGAGAUCCAAUUUCCCUUUUCCUAUUCUUUUUUUGGCAGAGGGCCUUUUGUCCCUCCUUAAAUCCAGAGUUCAGCCGUCUUAGAUUGGUGUGAUCCAAGUAGCGCCAUUGGCAUCAUCUGUUAACCAUCUUUUAUUUGCAGAUGACAGUUUAUUGUUCUUAAAGUCUAAUGGUGUUCG